rnacentral:lncRNA from 1 species
GAAUACCGGUAAAUUUCUAGCUGUAGUACAAAAGGAGACACUGCAGAGGAAAGAAUUGGUAUCAGGUAUAGGAACUCUCGGCACAUUACCUGCCCACAGUGAGCUUAC